AUUGAACGCUGGCGGCAGGCUUAACACAUGCAAGUCGAGCGGGGGGAGGUAGCUUGCUACCGGACCUAGCGGCGGACGGGUGAGUAAUGCUUAGGAAUCUGCCUAUUAGUGGGGGACAACAUCUCGAAAGGGAUGCUAAUACCGCAUACGUCCUACGGGAGAAAGCAGGGGAUCUUCGGACCUUGCGCUAAUAGAUGAGCCUAAGUCGGAUUAGCUAGUUGGUGGGGUAAAGGCCUACCAAGGCGACGAGCUGUAGCGGGUCUGAGAGGGUGAUCCGCCACACUGGGACUGAGACACGGCCCAGACUCCUACGGGAGGAAGCAGUGGGGAAUAUUGGACAAUGGGGGGAACCCUGAUCCAGCCAUGCCGCGUGUGUGAAGAAGGCCUUGUGGUUGUAAAGCACUUUAAGCGAGGAGGAGGCUACUUUAGUUAAUACCUAGAGAUAGUGGACGUUACUCGCAGAAUAAGCACCGGCUAACUCUGUGCCAGCAGCCGCCGUAA
rnacentral:rRNA from 1 species